rnacentral:sRNA from 1 species
CAUCCUCGAUCUGCUGUGGGCAGAUGUAAUGGAUGUGGCUGUCAAACCCGCCUGCGGUGAGGAUACGCCCCUCGCCCGCGAUGGCCUCUGUGCCGGGGCCGACAAUGAUAUCGACGCCCGGCUGAGUGUCAGGGUUGCCCGCCUUGCCGAUCUUGUGGAUGCGCCCGUCGCGCAGGCCGACAUCGGCCUUGUAGAUACCGGUGUAGUCCACGAUCAGCGCGUUGGUGAUGACGGUGUCGACCGCGCCCUCGGCCCGUGUGGCCUGCGACUGCCCCAUGCCGUCGCGGAUG